CUUGGUUUCAGUUUUUGAUUCAAGAUUAAUCAUAAAAAAAUGUAUGUUUGGGCUGAUCAUGGCGUUGUUAAGUUUUCUGUGCAUUUUUAGUGUUUCUAAAUCUCUGGGAUAUGCAUAUGCAACAGAGUAUUUACUAUACAUGGAUGACUUUGAAGCCUGUCAGAAGUCGAUAUUUUUCGAUAUUCAACAUGAGGAAUACAUUAUACAUGCUAAAGGCAGCAUGCAUUGGAAAAUGUUCGGAUAUACAGCAAAAAGGUGUUCGUUGCGCUUCAAAACCAAUAGUGAAAAUCACGUUUGUGCAGAGAUUAAAGACUUCCAUAUUACUGACUGCUCUGUUCAGUUGAAAUUUUUUUCACGAAAAGUCACUCAUAGAUCUGAAGAGAGAACCGAGUGAAAGUAACAUUUUUGAGAGAUACAUGUGUGGGGACUCUCCGGGAAGUGUGUGUAGUCCAGGCCCUAACUUGACCAUACAACUUUAUAAAGGAAAAAUCAACGCACAGGGGUACAGUUUUCAAAUCAAAGUAUUAUCAAAACAUAACCAUAUCUGGGUAAUAGUGGGUGUGAUUAGUGGUGUGACAGUUUUUGUUGUAAUACUUGCCACCAUUACUCUGUACUACUGCUGCUACAAGAAAAACAGAUGCAAGUGCUUCAGGUUUCAAAGUCCACCUACUGAGAGAGAACUAACCACUGAAGAGAUGCAAAUGAUUGAUUGAAUUAUCGAAGAAAACAUACUUUUAGCCUGCCACUUAAUUUGAUCUGUAGAGUAACAGUUGAUAUAUUGAAUGACUUUCAAA